rnacentral:rRNA from 1 species
UACGUAGGGUGCGAGCGUUGUCCGGAAUUAUUGGGCGUAAAGGGCUCGUAGGCGGUUUGUCGCGUCGGGAGUGAAAACCAUGGGCUUAACUCAUGGCUUGCUUUCGAUACGGGCAGACUAGAGGUAUGCAGGGGGAGAACGGAAUUCCUGGUGUAGCGGUGAAAUGCGCAGAUAUCAGGAGGAACACCGGUGGCGAAGGCGGAUCUCUGGGCCAUUACUGACGCUGAGGAGCGAAAGCGUGGGGAGCGAACAGG